AAAAACCAUGCAUGCCACACACAGGUAUCAGACCCACUACUAAGGGGGAGUUAAACUAACUCCAUCUCCACCUGGCCACAAGUUACUUGCUGUCAAACUAGGACCAACAAACAUUUAUAAACGGAAUGGAAACCAACUAGCCAAAAAAACCAGCAAAAAGCCAAACAUGGGCCGCUGGAUUAGGAUUAGAAUAAAGCCCAACAAUAAUCCUGAACCGUAUGGGCUCAGGUCGCUGAACACCCGUUUCCCAAGCUGGCCCAAACGUGGAACCACCAAGGAAUCCAAGAGGCAGCCCUAGCCGCAUGGAUGUCGGGCAACGAACCAAGAAAGGUGGCCAUAAUUAAUUAUUAGCUAUCAGUGUUUAAUGAAAAGCUACAACAAUGAAAAGCCAAAAGAAACUUUGAUGACACGGUAACAUUUUCCAACAUAGGGCUUUUAAUUGCAUUAAAAAUCAAACAUGAGGAAAUUGGAAAAAAAACCAACAGUGAAUCCAACAAAAGCCAUCGUCUUCCUUCCUCAAGCAAAUCCAAACCAUUCUAAAAACCAAAUCUUCCCAUCUUUAGAAACAGUGAUAAAAAUCAGUAAGAAACAAAAAUAAACAGAAAACCAACAAAGAUGACGGAACUGAAGCUCAAACCAAAAGGAAAAUUCUAAACCAAAAUGAACACCUACAUUCUCAUCUAUUCUAUGGUCAAGCAAUGGACUGUUACCGGUUGAGAUUAAAUCGAAGACUCAAAGCGUGAGACGAGGAGGGGCUUAUCGGUCACAAACAAAAUUAAACGGUGAUUGGAAAGGCAACACCUGGAUCUUUCUUCCAAAAGCUCCCACAUCGAUUUGUCUUCUGCGGUUGCUCGUUCCUGUGCUCCACUUUUGGUAAAGGCUUUAUCCAAAAACCGGGCGUCAAGAUGAAGCUUUGCUACCGUUCUUCCAAGGAAAUCGCAGACUCUAGGUUUAUCUUUUCAGAAAUUUAUGUUUCUGUCGAACUUGCUAGCCUCCCCUUUCUUUUGUUUUUCGAUCUCCUAAUGUAACUGUUUCAUGAAUCCGUUAAAGAUAAAAACUAUUUCCUCUCUGUGGUCCCCCUCUCGUCUGCUCUUCCGUACCGUUGGUAAUGACCAUGAGCUAUGGCAACUGUGGGUGUAGUGGAGCGUGAACGCUCUGAAAUUUGUCUGCCCAAACUUGGUGGUCCCUCUUCAAUUCUUAUCCUAACCUUUACUGUUGGUAAUCCGCGAUUUACCGUUAUGAAUACAUGUUUUAUGAAAUUAUACUAAUUCGUGUAUUAUGCUACAUAUUUGGGAUGAACUAUCCUUUUGCAGGAGAAUGCAAUGUCUUGCCGACUGAAUUGGUUAUGCAUUCAACAAAAUCAGAGUGUGAAGACGAAAGCUUCUAUUUUGUUAUGACAGUUUUUUUCAACCACUCCUUUUUGACUUGUAGAAGCCGUCACCGGAUGAACCAAAUCCAGCCUUCUGCCUCUCAUUCAACAUGAUAUUUGCCAACUCCCAUGAAACACCGCGAUUCAAGAUGAAUGUGAACAAAACAGUUGAAGCCCCACUCAUUUGAUCAACAUAGGUUGUCUUUGGAGUCCCUUACAGUUCAAUUAUUUUAGCUUUCAAGUCAAUAAUGCAUGUGUCAAGGUUACCAUCAAUGCGAGUUUUUUGAACAAGAAGAUCCAAGAUAUUCACAAAUAGAUCAAAUAGCCCAUUCUGAGUCUUGAGAGCUAUUCCCAAAAGUCGGUUGAGAAAUCAUCCAAUAUCAUGUAUAUAUUUAUCAUUAAUGUGACAAGAUAACCAUCGAGGGUCAAUAUCAUCUCCAAGAAUGGCAUCCUUUAAAAUUCCAACAGAAACAAGAGCAACUUUUGCCUGCUUGAUAAAUCCUUGGAUUGUACCUAGUCUGUCAGAUAAGCAUCCUGGAGGAACAACAUGUUUGGGAGCUCGACCGAAUGGCGUUAUAGUUUCGACAUGAAGAAGAGAAAAUUCCCCGGUGAUGGAUCAUGAAAACCAAUUGACGUUAAAGAAACGAAACCAGAACAUGUCCUGAAGUGAACAACGGAUUAGAUUUUCUUGAGGUUGCUUGGUCUAGUGUUAAUGGCCAACAACUAAUUUUAUUAUAUCAUUUGCAAUGCUUGUAAUUCUUCUCAAUUAACAUACGAGUUUCGCCUCUGUAUGCCACUUCAAUUAAGAUUUGACGAAAAUUUGUUUCUUGCUCU